rnacentral:rRNA from 1 species
ACUCCUACGGGAGGCAGCAGUGGGGAAUUGUUCACAAUGGGCGCAAGCCUGAUGACGCAACGCCGCGUGGAGGAUGACGGCCUUCGGGUUGUAAACUCCUUUUGCGGGGGACGAUGAUGACGGUACCCCGCGAAUAAGGCUCGGCUAACUCUGUGCCAGCAGCCGCGGUAAU